rnacentral:rRNA from 1 species
AGAGUUUGAUCCUGGCUCAGGAUGAACGCUAGCUACAGGCUUAACACAUGCAAGUCGCGGGGCAGCAUGUUGGUUGCUUGCAACCGAUGAUGGCGACCGGCGCACGGGUGAGUAACGCGUAUCCAACCUACCUAUUACCACGGGAUAACCCGGCGAAAGUCGGACUAAUACCGUAUGUUGUCCUCCAAUGGCAUCAGCAGUGGACUAAAGGUUUGGCGGUAAUAGAUGGGGAUGCGUCCGAUUAGCUAGUUGGUGAGGUAAUGGCUCCCCAAGGCUUCGAUCGGUAGGGGUUCUGAGAGGAAGGUCCCCCACACUGGAACUGAGACACGGUCCAGACUCCUACGGGAGGCAGCAGUGAGGAAUAUUGGUCAAUGGGCGUAAGCCUGAACCAGCCAAGUAGCGUGCAGGAUGACGGCCCUAUGGGUUGUAAACUGCUUUUAUGCGGGGAUAAAGGGACCCACGUGUGGGUUUUUGCAGGUACCGCAUGAAUAAGGACCGGCUAAUUCCGUGCCAGCAGCCGCGGUAAUACGGAAGGUCCGGGCGUUAUCCGGAUUUAUUGGGUUUAAAGGGAGCGUAGGCCGCCCCUUAAGCGUGUUGUGAAAUGCGGGUGCUCAACAUCCGACUUGCAGCGCGAACUGGGGGGCUUGAGUGCGCCGAAAGUAGGCGGAAUUCGUGGUGUAGCGGUGAAAUGCUUAGAUAUCACGAAGAACUCCGAUUGCGAAGGCAGCUUACUGUAGCGCAACUGACGCUGAUGCUCGAAAGCGUGGGUAUCGAACAGGAUUAGAUACCCUGGUAGUCCACGCGGUAAACGAUGGAUGCUCGUUGUCGGCCUGUGUGGUCGGUGACCAAGCGAAAGCGUUAAGCAUCCCACCUGGGGAGUACGCCGGCAACGGUGAAACUCAAAGGAAUUGACGGGGGCCCG